rnacentral:rRNA from 1 species
UACGAAGGGGGCUAGCGUUGCUCGGAAUCACUGGGGGUAAAGGGUGCGUAGGCGGGUCUUAAGUCAGGGGUGAAAUCCUGGAGCUCAACUCCAAAACUGCCUUUGAUACUGAGGAUCUUGAGUUCGGGAGAGGUGAGUGGAACUGCGAGUGUAGAGGUGAAAUUCGUAGAUAUUCGCAAGAACACCAGUGGCGAAGGCGGCUCACUGGCCCGAUACUGACGCUGAGGCACGAAAGCGUGGGGAGCAAACAGG